rnacentral:rRNA from 1 species
UACGAAGGGGGCUAGCGUUGCUCGGAAUGACUGGGCGUAAAGGGCGCGUAGGCGGUUUGUACAGUCAGAUGUGAAAUUCCUGGGCUCAACCUGGGGGCUGCAUUUGAUACGUGCGGACUUGAGUGAGGAAGAGGGUCGUGGAAUUCCCAGUGUAGAGGUGAAAUUCGUAGAUAUUGGGAAGAACACCGGUGGCGAAGGCGGCGACCUGGUCCUUGACUGACGCUGAGGCGCGAAAGCGUGGGGAGCAAAACAGG